GCACCAGGGCCUCAGGCUUCCAAAAGGAAGUGACACUUAAUCUGAACUAAAUUGGGAGUGACUAGGAGAAGAGACCGGAACAUCCGAGGGAGAGAAAAAUGAAGACCCCGGGAGGAUAAAGAAAGAGCCAGCUGACGGACAGUCGAGUGGUUUCCAUUUGGGGCUGUUAUGGACAAUGCUACUACGAGCGCUGUGUACAGGUCCAUGGCUCAUCUGGAGUCAACUUUGUAUAUACAGCAUGUGGGGUCGUGGUCCGAACUCAGUCUUUCGCACGUGGACACCCAGUGCUACUAAUACCAUCUGUUGAAAAGACUUUUUCCCCAUUGAAUUAUCUUGGCUCCUUUGUGGAAAAUCAGUUAACCAUAAAAAUUAGGAUGUACUUCUGGAUUCUCAAUUCAACUCUACUCCACUGAUUCCAUAGAUCUAUUUUAAUUAGGCCUCCCGUUUUGAGCCAAUAACAGCAGAAGCUAAAAGAGUUUAUUUUCCUGAAUUUCCGUUCUGACAAUUAAGGAGGAGCCAGCCCCGGGGGCGCUGCACCCGGGGCCUACUCCGGGGCAGCUGGGGGGCCAGGGGGGAGAGGGUUUGAGGCUGGGGGAGGGGUGGGUGCACACAGUGAACGGGGUUUCCCUGCCCCUCCUGGAGCGGCAGUGUCAGCCUGCUGCCCACAGCCUUCGCAGCCCCUGCCCCAGAGGCCCCAGCGGGGAGGAGCGGGGAGGCAGGGCACGGGGAAGGAAUGUGGAUGCCUUACAUGGCAGUUUGGAGGGAGAAGGCGCCCCCCCCCCAACCCUGCCCGCACGGACGGUCUGCAGGCUCUCUGGCCGCCCGCCCACCUCGGCGCCUUGCGUUCUCCAGCCGCCCAAAGAAACUGCACCCUGGGCUGCCCCUUACACCAAUGCCAAGGGCAGCGGGGCUCAAAACAGCCAGGCUACUGAGUCCUGGAGAGCACAUCUGGAAAAGAGGGAGAGGGCAGGCAGAUGCCCAGACCCCCGCAGGCCCCUGCUGGUUGGGCGGGUAGUGUGGGAAGGGGAGAUGCAGCCGGGGCCCCAAGUCCCCUCCCCACCGUGUGUAGUGCCUGCCAAGCUGCCUGGGCCCAUAGGGAUGGAAGGCGCCUGUGAAACGUGAGAU